AAAGGCUUGGUCCUAACUUUGCUGUCGCCUGAAGCUAGACUUACACAUGCAAGUAUCCGCGCUCCCGUGAGGAUGCCCUUAACCCUCUUAUGAGACCAAGGGGCGGGUAUCAGGCACACUACUGUAGCCCACGACACCUUGCUUAGCCACACCCCCAAGGGAGUUCAGCAGUGAUGAACAUUAAGCCAUAAGUGCAAACUUGACUUAGUUAAAGCUAAGAGGGCCGGUAAAACUCGUGCCAGCCACCGCGGUUAUACGAGAGGCCCAAGAUGACAGAAUCCGGCGUAAAGAGUGGUUAGGACAUAAAGGAAUUAAAGCUAAAGCUCUUCAAGGCUGUUAUACGCAUCCGAAGGUACGAAGAACUACUACGAAAGUGGCUUUAAUAUUUCUGAGCCCACGAAAGCUACGAAACAAACUGGGAUUAGAUACCCCACUAUGCGUAGCCGUAAACCUUGAUAAUAACUUACCCCCACAUCCGCCCGGGUACUACAAGUACCAACUUGAAACCCAAAGGACUUGGCGGUGCUUUAGACCCCCCUAGAGGAGCCUGUUCUAGAACUGAUAAUCCCCGUUAAACCUCACCCUCCCUUGUCAUUCCCGCCUAUAUACCGCCGUCGUCAGCUUACCCUGUGAGGGUCUUAUCGUGAGCACAACUGGCACAGCCUUAAACGUCAGGUCGAGGUGUAGUAGAUGGGAGGGGAAGAAAUGGGCUACAUUCGUCUACUGACGAACAACGAAUGAUCUAUUGAAAACAUUUAUCUAAAGGAGGAUUUAGCAGUAAAAAGGAAAUAGAGUGUCCUUUUGAAACUGGCCCUGAAGCGCGCACACACCGCCCGUCACUCUCCCCUAAUUUAAACUUCCAAUAACUAAUACCUUAAUAUACUAAAGGGGAGGCAAGUCGUAACAUGGUAAGUGUACCGGAAGGUGCACUUGGAACA
rnacentral:ncRNA from 1 species